rnacentral:rRNA from 1 species
GUGAACGCUGGCGGUAGGCCUAACACAUGCAAGUCGAACGGCAGCACAGUAAGAGCUUGCUCUUACGGGUGGCGAGUGGCGGACGGGUGAGGAAUACAUCGGAAUCUACUUUUUCGUGGGGGAUAACGUAGGGAAACUUACGCUAAUACCGCAUACGACCUACGGGUGAAAGCAGGGGAUCUUCGGACCUUGCGCGAUUGAAUGAGCCGAUGUCGGAUUAGCUAGUUGGCGGGGUAAAGGCCCACCAAGGCGACGAUCCGUAGCUGGUCUGAGAGGAUGAUCAGCCACACUGGAACUGAGACACGGUCCAGACUCCUACGGGAGGCAGCAGUGGGGAAUAUUGGACAAUGGGCGCAAGCCUGAUCCAGCCAUACCGCGUGGGUGAAGAAGGCCUUCGGGUUGUAAGGCCCUUUUGUUGGGAAAGAAAAGCAGCAGGUUAAUACCCCGCUGUUCUGACGGUACCCAAAGAAUAAGCACCGGCUAACUUCGU